CAGUCGAGCGAGUCUGCCUUGAGAUCGGAGUGCUUGCACUCUGUGAAACAAGAUACAGGCUAGCGGCGGACGGGUGAGUAACACGUGGGUAACCUGCCCAAGAGAUCGGGAUAACACCUGGAAACAGAUGCUAAUACCGGAUAACAACAGAUGAUGCCUAUCAACUGUUUAAAAGAUGGUUCUGCUAUCACUCUUGGAUGGACCUGCGGUGCAUUAGCUAGUUGGUAGGGUAACGGCCUACCAAGGCGAUGAUGCAUAGCCGAGUUGAGAGACUGAUCGGCCACAUUGGGACUGAGACACGGCCCAAACUCCUACGGGAGGCAGCAGUAGGGAAUCUUCCACAAUGGACGCAAGUCUGAUGGAGCAACGCCGCGUGAGUGAAGAAGGGUUUCGGCUCGUAAAGCUCUGUUGUUGGUGAAGAAGGACAGGGGUAGUAACUGACCUUUGUUUGACGGUAAUCAAUUAGAAAGUCACGGCUAACUACGUGCCAGCAGCCGCGGUAAUACGUAGGUGGCAAGCGUUGUCCGGAUUUAUUGGGCGUAAAGCGAGUGCAGGCGGCUCGAUAAGUCUGAUGUGAAAGCCUUCGGCUCAACCGGAGAAUUGCAUCAGAAACUGUCGAGCUUGAGUACAGAAGAGGAGAGUGGAACUCCAUGUGUA
rnacentral:rRNA from 1 species